UGGUUGCAGAGUGGGAAUUGUCCUAUUGCGAAGUCCUACCGUGCAGUGAGUAAUGUCCUUCCUCUUGUGGCAAAGGCUUUUCAGCCCCCACCUGGUAUGAACCUCAGGUGCCCCCCUGCGAUAGUUGCUGCGCGUGCUGCUCUAGCAAAGACUGCCUUCGCGAAGAACUUACGGCCACAACCUCUACCUGCAAAAGUCUUAGUGAUUGGUGUUAUGGGCAUGGCUGCAAAUAUUCCUUUAGGCAUAUGGAGAGAACACACUGAA
rnacentral:lncRNA from 1 species